rnacentral:SRP_RNA from 1 species
CCCACAUGUGCUGGCACAUGCCAAUAAAUCCCAAUUACUAGGGAGGAAGAGGACAGCAGAUCUGAGCUCAGUUGUUCUGAGCUGCAGUGGACUAUGAUGACUGGGUGUCCACACUAAGUUUGGCAUUAAUACAGAGAUCACCCAUUAGCAGGUGGCCCCAUGUUGCAUUAGGAGGGGUGCACUGGCCCAGGUUAGAAAUGGAACAAAACUCAGGUCAAAACUCCUGUGCUAAUCAGAGUGGUAUCAGGCCAACGAGUAGCCCCUGUACUUCCAGCCUACGUGAGAUAGGGAGACACAGUCUUU